rnacentral:rRNA from 1 species
UACAGAGGGUGCGAGCGUUAAUCGGAAUUACUGGGCGUAAAGCGUGCGUAGACGGUUAUUUAAGUCGGAUGUGAAAGCCCCGGGCUCAACCUGGGAAUUGCAUUCGAGACUGAAUAGCUAGGGUACGGUAGAGGGAAGUGGAAUUUCCGGUGUAGCGGUGAAAUGCGUAGAUAUCGGAAGGAACAUCAGUGGCGAAAGCGACUCCCUGGACCAGUACCGACGUUCAGGCACGAAAGCGUGGGGAGCAAACAGG